GAUGAACGCUGGCGGCGUGCCUAAUACAUGCAAGUCGAGCGAACAGAUCAGGACUUUCCUCCUCUGACGUUGUCGCCCGUCGGGUUGUUCACAUCUGUAUAGCCUACCUCUAAGACUGUGAUAACUUCGGCGAACCGGACCUAAUACCGGAUAAUAUAUUGAACCGCAUUGUUCAAUCGUGAGAGACGGUUUUGCUGGCGCUUAUAGAUGGAUCCGCGUCGCAUCAGCUAGUUGGUUAGGUAGCUGCUUACCAACGCUACGAUGCGAAGCCGACCUGAGAGGGUGAACGGACAGACUGGAAGUGAGACACGGUCCAGACACCGACGGGAGGCAACAGUAGGGAAUCUUACGGAAGGGGGGAGAGCCUGAUGGAGGAACGCCGCGUGAGUGAUGAAGGACCUCGGAUCGUAAAACGAUGUUAGUAGGGAAGAACAAAAGUGUAAGUAACUAUGAACGUAUUGACGGUACCUAAAGAGAAAGCCACGGCUAACUCCGUG
rnacentral:rRNA from 1 species